GAGGGUACAGCUCAGUGGUAGAAUGUCUGCUUAGCAUGCAUAAGGUCCUGGGUUCAAUCCCCAGUACCUCCA
rfam:Camelus ferus unplaced genomic scaffold scaffold931, whole genome shotgun sequence.